rnacentral:rRNA from 1 species
AGUGAACGCUGGCGGUAGGCCUAACACAUGCAAGUCGAACGGCAGCACAGUAAGAGCUUGCUCUUACGGGUGGCGAGUGGCGGACGGGUGAGGAAUACAUCGGAAUCUACUUUUUCGUGGGGGAUAACGUAGGGAAACUUACGCUAAUACCGCAUACGACCUACGGGUGAAAGCAGGGGAUCUUCGGACCUUGCGCGAUUGAAUGAGCCGAUGUCGGAUUAGCUAGUUGGCGGGGUAAAGGCCCACCAAGGCGACGAUCCGUAGCUGGUCUGAGAGGAUGAUCAGCCACACUGGAACUGAGACACGGUCCAGACUCCUACGGGAGGCAGCAGUGGGGAAUAUUGGACAAUGGGCGCUAGCCUGAUCCAGCCAUACCGCGUGGGUGAAGAAGGCCUUCGGGUUGUAAAGCCCUCUUGUUGGGAAAGAAAAGCAGCAGGUUAAUACCCCGCUGUUCUGACGGUACCCAAAGAAUAAGCACCGGCUAACUUCGUG